ensembl:antisense Mipepos mitochondrial intermediate peptidase, opposite strand
AACAAUCGUUAGGAAGAGCGUCGCCCUCCACGCCUUCUGAGCAGCUCCAGUUUCGUAGCGCCCUCGUGUGUCUGGAGGAAGAAACGUCCUGGAUUUGAGUUUGACAGUGGUACUAGGGCACAGGGAGAAGGAAGUCGGGUCAGGCAUUGGAACUUUUUACAGGUGCCAGGAAUGAAUGUGAGAACUCAAGAUGCUUUCUUGAUGCUUUCUUGAUUCUCAGAGGAGACUCAAUGGCGGCGCGUGAAAGGAUCCAGAAGAAACCACAAGCAGUCGAAAUCCAAGGCACCUGUCUUCUCCAAAAGUUGUUGAAGUCACUUCCAUGUCUGCAUGCCCACCAGCUAUGGUUGUGUAUAGCCAUGUGAAUUAACUAUUGGAGAAUUAUCAUCUAUUUUGACUUUGGAAACUAUUGAUACGGUCUAAGGGUUUUGGAAUGAUAUAGUCUAGGAGUCUUGGUCAGGUUUGUUGUUUCUGCCAGCCGAAGAAUUAAAAGGCAGGAAAAAUCUGAAGACCAGCAUGGAGCAGCAGAGAAAUCUUAAGCAUCGUGGACAGAAUUAGGAGUAGAAGGAAGGUGUGGGGUGACAAGCAGCUGGGGACAUCCUUCAUCCCUCAG